CUAUCUGCACUUAAGAAUAGAAAAGCAGCAUUCUGAACAGCAAUGCUCAUCACAUAAACAUGAAGUUUCCUCCAAAAGGAAUGAUGACUAAUGCUUUGAGGAAACAGCAGACGUCAGACAGCAAGCCCAGAAAAACCUGCCAGCACCAAGAGGGUGUCCUCAACAGGCGCCUGGGGGACAUAUUAUUCUAACUAAAGAGACCAGAGCUUCCCCAGGAAGGGAAGAGGAGAGAAAUGAAGAACGUCUGUGUUCAUGUUUGCCAAAAACAAAAGUCUGAGAAAUCUCUGAGAGACUCUACAUGGGAGGGCACUAAUCGAAGCACCUCAUUUAAAGUGAGAAAAGCUUUGCUAAGGGCAGAUGAUUCAGCACGGUAUCCUUCGAUGAGUACUGUCAUCUCAAAUCCUUUUUAAGAACAUCAAGCACAAAUGAUGAUCUCCUAGGACAGUGGCAGCUUCUGAGAAUGCACAGGAAAGUGACCAGGGAAAGAAUGAUUCCAUCUCCAGGAAUCCCUGGUGAUCUUCAGAGCCCAGACAGGACCCUGCUGGGCCAUGGUAACUGAGAAACUGAGAAGCAGAUACAGUGGUCCCUAUGUUGGCAACCUCAGCUGAAGAGGAACAACUCUCUCUAUAAUCAAGACUUAAUCUUGGCCUGGUGUGCCUCAUUUUUAUAGGACUUCUGAAACCAGAAAUCACCAGCGUGGGGAGAGAACAUUAAAGGCAGAGGUGUCUCUUAUAAGCACAACGUGUGACCAGGUAAUACUGUCUGGAUUAGCAGCUGUACAGCCUAACUAAGCCCUGGAGCUACAAUUAUCUGGUCGCAUUAAACUGAAAUCACCUGAAAAACUUCACACUGAACAAGCCUUUGGAAAUGUCUAAUCUGCCAGUUUACACCCAGAAGUGAAAGUGGAAUUCACUUGUUAAAGACAAGAAAACAAAAGUUUUCUGCCAGGAAGAGUCUCAUCUUAGAACCAGUAUAGGGUCUGAAGACAUUUCUGCAAUUUAUGUUUAUGCCAUUCUUUCACUUUUAUUUAAAAAGGAGAUUUAACCUGACCAUUCUCUUUGAAGCCGAUGUCCCAAGUAUAUAUGUUUGAUGAGGGUACAGAAGACAUAAGGAAUAAAACUGCAUUGCCACAGAGGGAAUACACGGCUCCAGAUACAAGGCUUUAUGCUAAUUUUAGCAAAAUGUAUGUAUCUUUUUACAUACAUAAAGUUAUGGCACUAUAUAAAGAGAUCCUUAAAUGUGACAUACACUGAAGUCCUAUUUACUGCCUGAGUAUUCCUUUUAAAAAAUAAAAACUACAAGUAGUGGUUGUAUUAAUAUUAAAC
rnacentral:lncRNA from 1 species